rnacentral:lncRNA from 10 species
GACGGUGAAGGUGAGGGUAUGUCCUGCUGUACUGAGACGGUGAAGGUGAGGGCAUGUCCUGCUGUGCUGAGACGGUGAAGGUGAGGGCAUGUUCUGCUGUACUGAGACGGUGAAGGUGAGGGCGUGUUUGGCUGUACUGAGACGGUGAAGGUGAGGGCGUGGACCGCUAUACUGAGACAGUGAAGGUGAGAGUGUGUCCUGCUGUACUGAGACGGUGAAGGUGAGGGCGUGUCCUGCUGCACUCAGACGGUGAAGGUGAUGGCGUGUCCCGCUGCGCUGAGACGGUGAAGGUGAGAGUGUGUCCUGCUGUACUGAGACGGUAAAGGUGAGGGCGUGUCUUGCUGUACCCAGAUGGUGAAGGUGAGAGCGUGUCCUGUUGUACUGAGACAGUGAAGACAAAUGGAGGAGACGGACAGCGGAGAAGUGGAGGGAGCUGGGGGGAAACUCAGAGCCCAGAAGCCGGAGCUCAGGGAAACCACGUCUUCUGUGUUGACUUCGCCAUCUCAGGGGGAAAGGAAGAUUCACACAGACUUGCCCGCUCCCCUUGGCUGACUUUAGGUCAGGAAAUAGCAUGUUCACUUCGGUAUGUGGGUGACAUCAUCAGCAUGGCCACUGAAACAGGAGGUGAGGCUGCAGACGGGCUGGGAUCCGCCUUGGCGAGCAGAGGCCUGCGCCUCCCUCCUCCACGUCCCCAACACCCCAGAUCCGUGACAUCCGACACCGAGCAGCUCACAUCGCAAAGGAAACACAGCCAGCCCUGCCGAGAGCUGCCUUUCAAAGUAGAAAAAAAUCCCCGGAGCAAAUGUGUGCACAGGCCCUGCAUUUAGAAAGAGGCGGCUUAGCCAGACAUAGCUGGAACAAACAUAUAAAAAACAUCUGUGCCAGGAAGCCACUCGCCAGCCCCGCAGACUGGGGGCCCCCACGGUGCCCUUGAGGGGCAGCAAUGGCCCCGCCGCGUGGAGCCCCCCGCAGCAGCACCACCAGCCGCCAGCAACAGCUUUGGGCUUUCCUGCUCCUCACUGAAAAUGGGCCACAGGCUCCGGGACAGACCACCUGCAGCCAGCACCCCCUGACCAGGGGCGGCACCAGCGAGACCCAGACAGACGGACCAGCAAUGCCUUUCCACUUCUUCUCAUCCUAAUGUCAGUUUUCUUUCUGGUCCUAAAAGUAACGUGAUCCAUUGGAGACAAGUUGGAAAAUGCAAUGCAAAUAUAUAAAGAAUAUGCUACCAGUCACCCACAACUCCAGGCCUAAGACGUGGCUGCAUUUUGGUGUGUUGUAAUCCUGUCUCACACCUUAGUCUCGUCACAACAAAGGAAGCGUUUCAGGGACACAAAAGCCUUUACAGAAUGAGGGCAGAUCCCACAGCCUGAGGCCAGAGGGACGAGGAUGAGGCCGGGCUUGGCGCCGGCCAGGGGUGGGUGCCCGGGCACCGAGGCGAGUCACUGACACCGUGCAGUUCGGUGGGGCCUGGGGAAAGGUACAGCAGGAGGAUUGUGGGGUGGGGACAGAAGAAGAGAGUCCUCUGGGAUGGGGUGAUGGGGACACAGUGGGUUUCACGACCCGUGCGAGAGAGGCCGGGAAGAGGCGGAAAUGAGGACGGGCCCUCGGGUCAGUGCUGCCGCAGCCUCCUCAGAGAAGCAGCUUCCAGGCUGCAACGACUUAGACCUGUUUGUGAAACAGCUGGUUGUGAAAUCAAUUUAAUGAGUCCUAACGAGCAUUUUCAAAAAGGAGCAGAGCAGCAUGGAAGCACCUAUUUCUAUGACCAUAAUGGAAGUCGUGAUUUCUAUCAGGGAAUCACUCAUCAGAGGGAGUGCUGUUUCACAAACUCUUAUUUCACUUCUGCGUGUACGUGCUGGUUGUGAUGUACAAUGUGCCUCUUAUUGUGGGUCUCAGUUUAAAAAAAGUUGCAAAGCCCUGGCUUAGAAGAAGAAAGAAUUCAGAGGCCACAUGUGACGACAGUUUAAGCUUCUGUAGAUGAGAAAGGGACGGGGCACUCUUGGAAGCAAGGAUAGUCCAGGCGGUGGGGCACGCGGAUGCGAGGCUGACGGAUCUCACACAAACGCACAGGGCACGCUGAGUUAGUCCCCUCGGAGCUCCUCUGAUGUAGCCACGGUCCCUCCAGAACCUGCUGCGGCUAAGCCCCAUCCGUCUCUGCGGUGGUCCCUCGCUACGUCCCACUUUCUCUUGUUCCUCCUCCUUUCCCCAAGUGACUUCUCCGGAAAUGACUCUUAGAACAAGCCCAGAAAUGAGCUCCAGUAAAGACCCAAAGGAACAAGAAGGCAGGCGUGCACACGACCCGGGACCCUCACCUCAAAGGAACAGGAAGGCAGGCGUGCACACGACUUGUGACCCUUCACGCGGCCCCCCGCCGUGUCAGCUUCAGUCGCACACCUGUGUCACAGCAUGUUCACAGCAAAAACAAGGCAUUUUACCUUUUCAUAAUAUGGUCAGAAGUGGAGACUCUUUCCUUUCUCCUUUCAAGACGCUGAGCCACCCAAAUUCCUUUUAUAUCCGUGAUUAAUAAAGGCAUUGGCCAGGCGCAGUGGCUCACGCCUGUAAUCCCAGCACUUUGGGAGGCCCAGGCGGGUGGAUCACCUCAGGUCAAGAGUUCGAGACCAGGCUGGCCAACAUGGCGAAACCCUGUAUCUACUAAAAUAAAAAUAAAAAAAUAAAAAAAUUAGCCGGGCGUGGUGGCAGGCACCUGUAGUCCCAGCUACUUGGGAGACUGAAGCUGGAGAAUUGCUUGAACCUGGGAGGGGGAGGUUGCAGUGAACCGAGAUUGCACCACUGCACUCCGGCCUGGGCAACGGAGCAAGACCAUCUCAAAACAAAUAAAUAAAUAAAUAAAUAAUGGCAUCUCCCUGUCUACUUUUACAUUUGUAUUUUUGUACACCCCCACCCCGCCCCCCACCACACACACAAAUCAGCAUGGGUUGUUGUAGGGAUUUACUUUAGGAAGGAAGAUAUGGGUAAAUUGGAACCAAGAACACUUGUUUCCAGAAGACGACUUCUGG